CGCGCCUGCAAUACCCGUUACAACGAAAUAUGUGUUUCUGUAACUGGCUUUGCCCUCUUGAUUGAGGGCUUUUUUAUGACGG
rnacentral:sRNA from 26 species